rnacentral:rRNA from 1 species
UACGAAGGGUGCAAGCGUUACUCGGAAUUACUGGGCGUAAAGCGUGCGCAGGCGGUUCGCUAAGACAGAUGUGAAAUCCCCGGGCUUAACCUGGGAACUGCAUUUGUGACUGGCGGGCUAGAGUAUGGCAGAGGGAGGUAGAAUUCCACGUGUAGCAGUGAAAUGCGUAGAGAUGUGGAGGAAUACCGAUGGCGAAGGCAGCCUCCUGGGCCAACACUGACGCUCAUGCACGAAAGCGUGGGGAGCAAACAGG